AACGGGGGGGGCAAGCGUUGUUCGGAAUUACUGGGCGUAAAGGGCUCGUAGGCGGCCAACUAAGUCAGACGUGAAAUCCCUCGGCUUAACCGGGGAACUGCGUCUGAUACUGGUUGGCUUGAAUCCGGGAGAGGGAUGUGGAAUUCCAGGUGUAGCGGUGAAAUGCGUAGAUAUCUGGAGGAACACCGGUGGCGAAGGCGGCAUCCUGGACCGGUAUUGACGCUGAGGAGCGAAAGCCAGGGGAGCAAACGGG
rnacentral:rRNA from 1 species